rnacentral:rRNA from 1 species
ACGGCGAGUGAAGCGGGACUAGCUCAGGAUGUGAAUCUGCGCUUUAUUGGCGCCGAAUUGUGGUCUGUAGACUUUGACGUUAUCUGCCGGGCCAAGUUCCUUGGAAAAGGACAGCUGAGAGGGUGAGACUCCCGUCCGCCUGGUUGAGUGAGUCAUUUGUCAACGAGUCGAGUUGUUUGGGAUUGCAGCUCUAAUUUGGUGGUAAAUUCCAUCUAAAGCUAAAUAUUGGUGGGAGACCGAUAGCGUACAAGUACCGUGAGGGAAAGAUGCAAAGAACUUUGAAAAGAGAGUUAAAGAGUACCUGAAACUGCUGAAACGGAAGCGAAGGAAACCAGUGUUUGUUUGUUCAUAUUUCCCUGGCCACUUGUGGUUUGGGCGCUGUGAGCUUGCGUGAGUUUGGGUUGGUUGAUCCCUUUGGAAGAGCGCAGUCAGAGUUGAUGUCUGUUGCUAGCACUGGGUUUGACUGAUGCAGACGAAAUGGUUUUCUUUACCCCGUCUUGAAACACGGACCAAGGAGUCUAACAUAUGUGCGAGUACAGGGGUGUCAAACCCCGGUGCGUAAUGAAAGUGACAGUGGUUGGAAUUUUGCACAAUCCGCCGGCCUCAAUCCUUCGGGAGAACGGUCUGAGUGUGAGCAUACAUGUUGGGACCCGAAAGAUGGUGAACUAUGCCUGAAUAGGGUGAAGCCAGGGGAAACUCUGGUGGAGGCUCGUAGCGAUUCUGACGUGCAAAUCGAUCGUCAA